rnacentral:rRNA from 1 species
AGUCGAACGGUAACAGGAUGUGCUUGCACAUCGCUGACGAGUGGCGGACGGGUGAGUAAUGCUUGGGAACUUGCCUUUGCGAGGGGGAUAACAGUUGGAAACGAAUGCUAAUACCGCAUAAUGUCUUCGGACCAAACGGGGCUUCGGCUCCGGCGCAAAGAGAGGCCCAAGUGAGAUUAGCUAGUUGGUAAGGUAACGGCUUACCAAGGCGACGAUCUCUAGCUGUUCUGAGAGGAAGAUCAGCCACACUGGGACUGAGACACGGCCCAGACUCCUACGGGAGGCAGCGGUGGGGAAUAUUGCACAAUGGGGGAAACCCUGAUGCAGCCAUGCCGCGUGUGUGAAGAAGGCCUUCGGGUUGUAAAGCACUUUCAGUUGUGAGGAAAAGUUAGUAGUUAAUACCUGCUAGCCGUGACGUUAACAACAGAAGAAGCACCGGCUAACUCCGUGCCAGCAGCCGCGGUAAUACGGAGGGUGCGAGCGUUAAUCGGAAUUACUGGGCGUAAAGCGCACGCAGGCGGUUUGUUAAGCUAGAUGUGAAAGCCCCGGGCUCAACCUGGGAUGGUCAUUUAGAACUGGCAGACUAGAGUCUUGGAGAGGGGAGUGGAAUUCCGGUGUAGCGGUGAAAUGCGUAGAUAUCUGGAGGAACAUCAGUGGCGAAGCGACUCCCUGGCC